CCGCUACUGGUUCUCCAGAACUGGUCAGAACCUGCUGAAUACCACCUCUGGUUGAAAGGCUAUAAAACUUGCCCAAGGUAUGUGCCAAGUAUGGCUCUUAGCUUUCUGUUCUAUAUGCUCACCACAGCUGAAUGGGAGGGGACUCUCUAAUGUUGUAUGCAUCUGGACUUAAUGAAUAAAUUUUUGCUAAUUUUAGUCAGCUGGUAUCUUCCAUUAUAUAGUCAUUAAUUGAUAUACGCCUGUGGUCACUUUAGCUACCAAUAGCCUAACCAUAUGCAGGUUCUCAGUUGUACUUUUUUUGGCUCCUGUGGGUCACAAGACACUUUCCUAAAUAGGUCUGAUUAGGUAAGCUCUGCUUGCAUUUUUAAUAGGUAAGCAUAAUGCAAUAUAUCAUGAAGGGUGCCCUGUGGUAGGGAAGAAAUAUUUUAAAAACUUUAAAGCUUAAAGUAAUGAAGCUGCACCUAUAAAGGACCAUGAAUCAUACAGACAUGAUAUAGCUUUAUUGAUCUUUUAGAUCCAUUGUUCUUCUUUUCAAACCAAAGAAAUGUUGGAAAUAAAUUAUACAAAAGGGAUCAGGACCCUGACUUUUUCCCCUCAGGUAAGUUGAGCUAACAUUCCCAAAACACAACAGAGCUGGGUCAAAUUUGGUCUGAAAACUACCAAAGGAAGAUUAAAAAUGGGCGAGAUCAAGUCAAGAGCAGGGGGGGGGGG